UUAGAGAAGGCCAGAGUGCCUGUUUGGACAUGUCGCUGGCGAUAAGCACCUUCUUUGAUCUUCUUAUUUUUUUCAUUACAUUCUUUGCAGAAAGUGCUGAAUAUCACAGAACACAAAGAAAAGAGAAGGCGAAACUGACAGAGCUUAUAAACAUAGCAGGAAAGUUCAGAUAUGCACAUUUCUGCUGGAGUUUUAAGGAGCAGUGUGUUUCCUACAUCCUGAAGCAGAUGAACUUGAUGGGAUGGAGUUUCUUGAAAGCCUUCGAAGUUUUCAUGGCAAUUCCCUUGUUCAUUGCUACAAAAGUUUACAGGUUUGGUGAUAGAAGUUGAAGAAACUUCUCUGUGAAGAAAUCAACAUCAUCCACCAAGAGGAAAAGGGCAUGACCGGGUUACAAAUCCAAUGUGUGAAGAAGUUCAGAUUGCCUCCCUGGAGACCUAGAAACAAAGCUUCCUGGAGAAAGUGAGUGGUCCAGGAGGAAUAAAGAUUCCUGCCGAAGGACAAUGGUCUCAUUUCUUCAUCUCCCCACCAAAAACCAGAGAGCCCAGCCCACAGGUGCAAGAUAUACUUUGAAUGAGUAUAUGUCAAUGGAAUUUGAAUCCAAGAUGAGAGCGUUUCAUGGUUCAUUCUUCUUACAGUUAAGAGUAUGAGGACCUGCCACCAGCUACCUGCUUAAUUUCUUCCUCUCAACCUUUCCUAUUGAAAAGUCUCAAGCAUCUUGACCCCACACAGCGCAUUCUUCACAACAGUUGUUUUCAUACUCUGCCCCUUUCGACUUAGGAAUUCUCAGAGUUGCCCCACAGGUCAGUAUCAAGGGAAACCAUCAAAUACAGGAGCACCUCUUAUAACUAUUUUAUGUAUUGGGAAUGUAAGACAUUUUUCUUUUAAGAAAGAGCAAUGGUAAGAGAACAUUUGAAAACUAUUUCUUCACAGUUUUUUCAAUGCUACAUAAUAUAUACUCAUGCUUUCAGGACAUUUAUUAUUAAAGUUUAAAUAUGUGAGAUACUGAUAUUAAAACACAGAUAAUAUGUCCCGCUUCCCAUCUGCAUUACUUCUUAAAACUACAUAAUUUCCAAGCAAUGGCAUCAUGGGUCUUUAUAAUUUAAACACAACUUUGAGCUAUUUAGCAGGGUGUUUAUAUAUUUUGCUUUUAUCUAUCACUAUUUCUUUUGUAUUUUUUUUAUUUAUGUUUUUUGAGAGCUCAGCUUUAGUUUUAUU